rnacentral:misc_RNA from 1 species
AACAGAAUUGUUACAAAAAUAAAAUAUUAAGAAAAAAGGCUAGAAUUUAUAUUUACUUUUAAUUUGUGAGAGGGAGAAACAGAAUGGAAAAUAAGAAUCUACUGCAUGCAUUUGUGGGAAUGUAUUUUAGUCCAGUUAAUUUUAUAGCUUAGAUUGUAUAAAAUUGAUUUACAAAUUCUAUCUUAAACAAUUCCACUUCCAAGUGUACUCAAU